UAUUGAGUCUGAUAGACCUGGGUUAGGGUUUUAACGCAAUCCCUCGCCACCCUCAUUUACGAUAUCUUGGUUUCUUUGCAGAGAAGUAGUUAGGCAUAACAGACACUGAGAUGGGAACAAAGGCAAAGAAAGCUAUGAAGAAGAACAUGAAAAUGGCUUCCUCUAAACAGCCAUCUCAGGGUGCUGAUUUUUUGCCCUUGGAAGGUGGUCCUGCUCGCAAGCUCGCCGAACAGAAGCCGCCGGAGAAUACCUCCACGGUAUUGUACGUAUCCAGGAUUCCGCAUGGAUUCUAUGAGAAGGAGAUGGAAGGUUAUUUUGGUCAAUUUGGAACCAUCAAAAGGUUGAGAAUCGCGAGAAAUAAAAAGACAGGAAAAUCAAGACAUUUUGGGUACAUAGAAUUUGAAUCUCCUGAGGUUGCGAAAAUUGUAGCUGAUACUAUGCACAAUUAUCUCCUUUUCGAGCACCUUCUCCAAGUUCAUGUUGUACCUCCGGAGAAUGUUCAUUCAAGAUUAUGGAGAGGAUUCAGUUAUCGUCACAAGCCAUUGGAUUAUGUCCAAAUUGAACGGAAGCGUCAUGACAAGGAAAGAACCUUAGACGAGCACAAAAAAUUGGUGGAGAGGAUUCUAAAACAUGACCAAAAACGACGGAAAAGGAUAGAGGCUGCUGGCAUUGAUUACGAAAGCCCUGAGAUUAUGGGUAACAUCCAGCCUGCUCCAAAGAAAAUAAAGUUUGAUNAACAAAUGAAUGUGUGUUAUUUUUCAUCGUAGAUGGAGAGGAUUCAGUUAUCGUCACAAGCCAUUGGAUUAUGUCCAAAUUGAACGGAAGCGUCAUGACAAGGAAAGAACCUUAGACGAGCACAAAAAAUUGGUGGAGAGGAUUCUAAAACAUGACCAAAAACGACGGAAAAGGAUAGAGGCUGCUGGCAUUGAUUACGAAAGCCCUGAGAUUAUGGGUAACAUCCAGCCUGCUCCAAAGAAAAUAAAGUUUGAUGACUGAGUUGGUAACCUGAAACACAGGAGUCUGCUGGUUUAGGAUUUUUAGUUUUAAUAUUUUCGCAGUUUUGGAACUUAGUUCUGAAACCUUGUAUCCGUCAAAUGUUUACAGGAAGCAUGAUCCAUUUUAUAUAUUCAUAAACUUUUUAAGCAGUUGAUCA